rfam:Bacillus sp. FJAT-22058 super1, whole genome shotgun sequence.
CGAGAAAUGUAGGGGGGCCAGUACUGCUGGCUGAGAUUGCAUCCAUUAGAUGCUGACUCUUUGAACCUGAUCUGGGUGAUGCCAGCGGAGGGAACAUAUUAUGACUGAUU